UGCCAGCCGCCGCGGUAAGACAGGAGGAGCGAGUGUUAUUCGAAUUAAUUGGGCGUAAAGGGCAUGUAGGUGGAGAGAUGUAGUUGUUUGUGAAGGUCCAAGGGGUUUCUUUGGGUGUGCAUUCAAGACGGUUUCUUCUCUUUGAGGGCGUAAGAGGAAAAUAGAAUUUCCAGAGUAGAGGUGAAAUUCGUAGAUAUUUGGAGGAACACCAGUGGCGAAGGCGGCUUUCUGGACAGUGACUGACGCUGAGGCGCGAAAGCGUGGGUAGCAAACAGGAUUAGAUA
rnacentral:rRNA from 1 species